rnacentral:lncRNA from 10 species
GGAAGAAGGAAUCAGGAGGCAGAGCACAUGGUUAAAGCAUGAGAUGUGAAACCAGGAAGAACCAGGUCUGAACCUUAGCUCCACCAGUGGUAGCUUCAAACCUUGGUCCUUUCUGAGCCUGCUUCUUCAACCGUAAGGGAACGCUACACUUCCUUAGAAAUUAAGAGUGUGUGCUACACUGCUUUACCAGAGCAAGGCCAAAAGCAGCUUCAAUUAUGGUACAACUGUGUGAAGACACAAUGCAAAACCACUCAAGAAUGCUCACUCAAAUGGAUUUUUACCAUGGAACUCGGAAACGGGACCCAGAAAGUUGUUUUCUCAAGUGGAUGGAACAACACAAGCAAUCAGUAUCCUGAAACAGGCCCUGUUCCAACAAACUGACCCAGAAAGCAAGUAUGAGGACUCCUGUUUCCCUACGUACUCACUACUACAGCAAAGAUAUCAAACAUUGAUACCCACCAAUCUCUGGAUGGAAAAACAAAUCUCAGGAAUCGCUUGCAGGAGGCUCUGCACGUUCCUCAGAUUCAGAGUCGCUGUCCUUUUGCCUGUGAAGCUCCUCACUUUCAGAGUCACUAGCAUUAAGAUUUAAGGGCUCAUCGUUCUCAGAGUCUGUCACAUGAUGUCCUUUGGGGAGGCCAUCUUCUCGAUCACUAGUUUCAUUCUGAAAAAUAAAGUGAGAAAAAAUUAGGAAAGUGCAAAAAAAAAAAAACCAUUAAU